CCCAGAUCGGACCAGGGGUUCGGGAAAUUUAUGGAAGUACUAAAAAGACCGACAGCGCUGGAGAGUACAGCCGAAUUUGGUUCCAUGCGAUGGGGCCCUAUGGUCGGUCCCAGUAUAAGGGAAUAAAUUACACGAAAGGCUAAGGCUACAGAGAUCAGGUAGGGUUCGCCUGAAUCCCCUCGUUCGGUUGUUUCUGUCUACCGAACGAGGGGCCGUUUGGUAGGUUGGAACCGAACGGACCGGGCUUGUGGAGGUCUCAGCGGUGUUUGCCUAG